UUGUGAGGUUAAGCGACUAAGCGUACACGGUGGAUGCCCUGGCAGUCAGAGGCGAUGAAGGGCGUACUAAUCUGCGAUAAGCGCCGGUAAGGUGAUAUGAACCGUUAUAACCGGCGAUACCCGAAUGGGGAAACCCAGUGUGAUUCGUCACACUAUCAUUAACUGAAUCCAUAGGUUAAUGAGGCGAACCGGGGGAACUGAAACAUCUAAGUACCCCGAGGAAAAGAAAUCAACCGAGAUUCCCCCAGUAGCGGCGAGCGAACGGGGAGGAGCCCAGAGCCUGAAUCAGCAUGUGUGUUAGUGGAAGCGUCUGGAAAGGCGCGCGAUACAGGGUGACAGCCCCGUACACAAAAGCGCAUGUGCUGUGAGCUCGAUGAGUAGGGCGGGACACGUGGUAUCCUGUCUGAAUAUGGGGGGACCAUCCUCCAAGGCUAAAUACUCCUGACUGACCGAUAGUGAACCAGUACCGUGAGGGAAAGGCGAAAAGAACCCCGGCGAGGGGAGUGAAAAAGAACCUGAAACCGU
rnacentral:rRNA from 2 species